AACGAACGCUGGCGGCAUGCCUAACACAUGCAAGUCGAACGAGAUCUUCGGGUCUAGUGGCGCACGGGUGCGUAACGCGUGGGAAUCUGCCCUUUGGUUCGGAAUAACAGUUGGAAACGACUGCUAAUACCGGAUGAUGACGAAAGUCCAAAGAUUUAUCGCCAGAGGAUGAGCCCGCGUAGGAUUAGCUAGUUGGUGUGGUAAAGGCGCACCAAGGCGACGAUCCUUAGCUGGUCUGAGAGGAUGAUCAGCCACACUGGGACUGAGACACGGACCAGACGCCUACGGGAGGCAGCAGUGGGGAAUAUUGGACAAUGGGCGAAAGCCUGAUCCAGCAAUGCCGCGUGAGGGAUGAAGGCCUUAGGGUUGUAAAGCUCUUUUACCCGGGAUGAUAAGGACAGUACCGGGAGAAUAAGCUCCGGCUAACUCCGUGCCAGCCGCCGCCGUAA
rnacentral:rRNA from 1 species